UACGUAGGGGGGCAAGCGUUUGUCCGGAUUUACUGGGCGUAAAGAGCGUGUAGGCGGCCACGCAGGUCCGUUGUGAAAACUGGAGGCUCAACCUCCAGCUGUCGACGGAAACCGUGUGGCUAGAGUCCGGAAGAGGAGAGUGGAAUUCCUGGUGUAGCGGUGAAAUGCGCAGAUAUCAGGAAGAACACCAAUGGCGAAGGCAGCUCUCUGGGACGGUACUGACGCUAGACGCGAA
rnacentral:rRNA from 1 species